rnacentral:rRNA from 1 species
UACGUAGGGGGCAAGCGUUGUCCGGAAUCAUUGGGCGUAAAGAGCGUGUAGGCGGCCAGAAAAGUCCGCUGUGAAAACUCGAGGCUCAACUUCGAGCUGUCGGUGGAAACUUUCUGGCUAGAGUCCGGAAGAGGAUAGUGGAAUUCCCAGUGUAGUGGUGAAAUACGUAGAGAUUGGGAAGAACACCAGUGGCGAAGGCGGCUAUCUGGACGGUUUCUGACGCUAAGACGCGAAAGCGUGGGGAGCAAACAGG